rnacentral:rRNA from 1 species
UACGUAGGGUGCAAGCGUUGUCCGGAAUUAUUGGGCGUAAAGGGCUCGUAGGCGGUUUGUCGCGUCGGGAGUGAAAUCCACUGGCUUAACUGGUGGCUUGCUUUCGAUACGGGCAGACUGGAGGUAUGCAGGGGAGAACGGAAUUCCUGGUGUAGCGGUGAAAUGCGCAGAUAUCAGGAGGAACGCCGGUGGCGAAGGCGGUUCUCUGGGCAUGUCCUGACGCUGAGGAGCGAAAGUGUGGGGAGCGAACAGG